CUGCUUGCUGAAGAGAAGAGGCGAUGAGCUCGCCAGUGACCGCAGGGAUCUGCAGAAAGCUGGCCGACGGGAGCGGGAAGAGAUCAACCGAGCCCUCGCAUCAGCUCUCCCCUGGGACAUGUGCACCGUUGGGAAGGUGUUUGUUCAGCAGAACUGUGUGGGAAGCGAUGCUAGCUAAGCCUUUCCGAAGACAGAAACUCAUUAGAACCACUGAAAGCACAGCAAGAAGUCACUUUGUGGAUUGAUUUGGCACGACAAGCCAAGUAUUGACAAAUACCUUAACAACGUCGAAAGUAGCCUACUUUAAGAGGAAAUAUGCAGAAGAAGAAGAUUUACAUCAAGAUUACCCAGGGUAUUUUCCAAAACACCUGAUAUUACCUGAAGAUCGGACCUGUAUUUUGAAACUGUCUCUGCAGAAGCUUCAGUUUCUUGAAGAUCCUGAGCUCUAUCUCCGCCGCUCAGUCCUGAUUAAUAACUUGUUGCGGAAAAUUCAUCUGGAAACUGAGCGUGAACGCUAUGAGUAUCUUAAGGAAAACUCAUGCUGUCGGACUGCCUAUUCGGAUACAAGAAAACGGCUGAAGUUUAUGGUACAAGAAUGUCGUUCUCAGUCCCUUUAUUACAAAGAACUGCAUUCAUAUCAUAUUGUGCCUUAUUCUCCGGAGAAUGCCAUUUAUGGAGUGGGCUAUUCAAGUGGCCACUUAGAGCAAAAUUCUCAAUUGCUUAUUUAUAAAAUGAAAUGAGGGUUGUUGUUUUUAAAAGACAUGGAUUAAUUUGUUUCUGGAUGCCUGGAUGGCUUAUUACUUUGCUAAAGUGAUGCAUUAAUGUGCAAACGUGGGUGAGAUCAAUGGUUCAAGUCACUUUCAGCUAUAUUGCAGAACGCUUCAGUGGUGGCAUUUAAGACUUGAGGCUGCUUGGUUGCACAAUGAUGGUGUCCAUGUGAAAACAGUGCAACCUGGAAUUUCUAAUAAGCCGUGAGCCCUAAGGGUGAAGUGCUUGUUGGCUGUCCAGUUUUCUAUAUGUAUAUAUUCAGACUAACUUUAACUGCUAAAUUAUACCACCUUUCCUUAGAAAUGUAGACUGAUAAUAAGAGGAUAAUAUGCUGGCAGGUCUAAAGUGAAGUUUAAAGUGGGUGGAUAACUACUUCUCAGAAAGUCUAAAAAGACUUACAGUCGUUAAAAAUAUUGAUUCAUUUAUAUCAACCCUCUUUUUGAAAUAUUCAACAGCAUUAAUCAUCUAGACUUAAUCAUUUAUUUGCUAGCAUGCUUGGUUUCUGUUUAAGUCAGUGGUGAUUUUAAUAAAAUGAUAUUGACAGCCUAGAAAUCAAUAAUUGGGAUGAGCAGGGGAGCCACAUUCAUUUACUCUCUUAAACUUGGCCAGAAUCCUCUCUCUGGAUCUCUGUUAUACUGAGUUGGCUCUAGGAAUUCAGAUACCUAUCAUAAAAGUGGGAACAGCAUCUUUAAAAAAAAGAUUAAAAAAAACUAGCAUCCCAGUAUAAUUGUAAGAAAGUUUUCUGAUUUAACACUCAUAGCCAGGAGCAAAAUAUUAAUAGAACAAGUGGGACCAAAAUUUCCUUUUUUUUUUAAAAAAAAAAAAAUAUUGUUUAUAUGUAUACAGUAUGCUGAGCUGAGGCAUGUUUUUUUUUGGUAUCAGAUUAUAGUCUUUUGGAUUUCAUUCCUUGGGAGAUGAAUAUUCACAUGUAGUCCCUCUUCCUAUCCUUUCUUCAUUCAGCAAUCUAAUUUCAUUGGUAGAAAAUAUUCUGGUGGUGUUUUGGUUAAACCACUGGUUGUACAGAAAUGUUUGCAAUCCACUAGCAGAUCUAUUGAAAGAUCUUCAUCUAAUGUCUGCUUGUCCCUGGCCUAAUACAAUCAGUAUUAAUAAUUUUUUUUGCCUACUGUUAUGUGUACGUGGGGUGUUUAUAUAAUUUGGGGAGAUCAGAUGUUCUUCUGAAUUUAUCAGAUUGCCAUAAGAGACAACAAAUCCGUUCAUGUUGUCCCAAUUGAUGUAGGAAUGCCACAGGAGUACGUGAAAUGUCUUUAGUUAGUUUUGAAGGUACCCUAUAAGGAAGAGAGAUGAUGGUGAAGAUCACUGGAGAAGUUGCAGGUGCCAAAGUUCUCUUCAAAAAAUGCCAAAGAGAAAUACUAGGCAGGUGUGUGCAAAAAAGAACCUGCUUCCAAAGCUAAGAUGCUGUCAGUUACGGAAAGGAAACCCUGAUAGCUCUUUUAUUGCAAUUAAUGGUAAUUCCCCCCAAGAAUUCUUAGGAACUGCGUUCAGUGUGAUAUUUUUCUAAUGGAGCCCAUUCCAUGUGAAGCCUGUUACAACCUGAGUGAGCUUUGCUCUUAGACAUUAGACAUGUGCAUUACAGUACUGUGACAUUAUUAAUAGAUUAAUAUUCUUAUGGAGAAUGGCCCAGCCUAGAAAGAGUAUCGUGCAGUACCGAAUAUCUUGUUUUCCUUUCAUAUGCCUUUAAAAUACCAUCUAAAAUGGCAGACUUUUACCUAUCAGAUCCUGAAAAAGGGAAACUGAUAGAUGGAAAACAGUCCUAGAUAACAGCUUUCAUUUGCCUUGUUAUCACUUGAUAGCCCUUUUCAUCUUAGUCUUUUGUCAGUAUACUGGUCCUUCUUAACAAACAGCAUCCCUUUUCUUUCAGGGCAGAAACUUCCAAUUUGUUCACAUAAUCACUUUACACCCUUAGUUAAAUGUGGACACACGCAACCCUUCUUAUAGCUGUAUUCCUAUAGUCACUUCCCUGAGUAUAAGUUCUUGAAACCAAGGAGUUUUACUUCCACCUAAAAAUGCAUGAAAUUACUCUUAGUGUUAUUGUAACUAAAAAAAGGUUAAUGCAUGUGAAUUGCUGGGAACUGUUGGGUCAUUUCACUUAAACCUUUUUUGCAUACAAACUCUGGCAAAUUUUCCAAUGUUACAUUCCCAGCAGCUUGUUUGUUUUGUAUUGCUUGAUAACAUGUUGAUUUGUAAAACAAAAAACACCCCCCCCCCCAGUAUUUGUUAUUAUUUAUCUAUGCUAAGCCUUAUGCAAAGCAGUUUGAAAGUAUCUGGCCAUAAUUGAAAAUCCAAAGAAUGUGAUCUGUUAAAGUAGCUAUAAGAUCAUAGAAGUGAUUGAUCAUCCUUAAGUAUCUUUAGUUAAACUAUGCCCCCUCUCUAGCAUAGUAUUUUAUUUUUUAUAUAUAUACUUUUAUUAAAAGUUUUAAAAACAAUUAUAAGAAUACAGCUAAAUUAGUACAGAGAAAAUGAAAAAAGGGUAGAAAUACCAAUAAUUUUAGGAAAACUAAAAGUGCAAUACAGAAAAAAAUAGAAAAAAGUAGAAAAAAGUGAAAGGUAUAAAAGUAUAAAGAUAUUCUGAUAUUCCUCACAGCAGUUAUAAGUUCAAUUUUAUUUUAAUCGCUCUCUCUAAAGUUAAAUCAUGACUCUUUUCUUUUUAUAUCUUGUGUAAUCAUCAAAAUCAUAAAUCACAAGGUCAUUUUUUUUCCUUUAAGUCCAUAAGGGCUUUCCAAUUACCAAUAAAUGUACAUAUUGCCCUUUCUUUAAUUGAAGGUCACUUGUCCAUCUCAGAAAACCAUUCCUCCAUGGCAGCUAGCACUGAAUCUUUCCAUCUUUGUAUAUAUAGUAGUAUCGCCACAGUAAUCAUAUAUUGAAAUAAUCAGUCAUAAAGUUUUUUUUCCCCAACCAUCAUUCUUAAAUGGGAAAAUUCUGACUUCAAUUGAAUAUUGUUCUAACAUCCUUUUUAUCAAUGUAUGUAUUUCAAUCCAAUUUUAAAGCUUUUCAAAAUGUAUCUUCAUGUUGUUCACAUUUCUAGCAUACUGUAUAUUUGGAAUGCCUUUAUACCUUGUAGAUAAUUUCUGUCAUGUCAUGUACCAACAGUAUCUGGUAUUUUAGAUCCCCUGCUUAAAAAGAUAAGAGAGAAAAAGACAAAAAAAAAAAUCCUGUCCAUGCCCAUUUAGGUCACAUAGCUCCAUUGCUUUGCUUCAUAAUUUCACCUCUCAUAGACCUCACCUUUUCCAAAACUUUUAAGUACAGCCCAUGGUCCUCCUUUAGAUGGCAAGAUGUAUUCUGUCAUUUAUUUACAAAUGUGUUAAAAAUAGCCCUUCCCAGCUGAGAGCUAAUUCUUCUGAACCAAGAUCUGGUUUAUCCCAAAAAAUCUUCUCUAAUUGGCACCAUGGUAAGUGUUUUAAGCUAAAUAUGAUAAUAACUUGAAAGAUGCUUUUAGUUUUGUAAAAGUGGCAAAUGUUACCACUAUAACGAACAAUGGCAUUUUCAAAAUGAAGUACUGUCUGCUGUGACUAGUAAUAGUUUUCUAAUACAGUAUCUCCUACAAGUGUCAUUCAAGACUCUUUGAACUGGUCACCCCAUCAGUUAAAGCUAGGAACUUCUUGCAUGACAAACACAUUCCUUACCCCAGUAAUAUGGCCCCCUCCUUCAAUCUAUUUUAAUUCCUUUGAAGCCUACAUGUGAUGGGUUUCUUUGGAUCCUUUUUUGCUUAAUUAUAAUUAACAAGCUUUAAAUUCCUUGCGCUUUGCAUGCUGAGCUUUGUGCACAGGUCUGAGUUCAUACAACCAGAUACAGUUAGAAUUAUCUUUCAGUAUUCCAUCUCAGCUGGUGAGAUCAGAAACUGAAAUCUUUUUUUUUUUUAAAGUGGCAUCAGCUAUUUAAUACUCAGUAGAACAUUGCAUGCAUUUGCUAGCAUUUUUUUUAAAAAAAAUGUAAAUAAAUCAGCUAUGGACACCAACUUUUUGCCUGUCAACCUUUAGAGAUUGGGGUAUUACAAGGACUUAGCUUAGACAGAGUCAGUAAUCAAUCUCAGCUUGGCUUCAAUCAAAUCAACCUCAGUGCUUUUUUUGUAAUCACUGAAUGUAUCCGUUAGCACUUUAAUCUGUCCAAGAAAAAUGAAGUUAAAAAAAAUAGCAGGGUACAAGUUAUUGUAGCUGACCUUAGUUGUGUAAAAAGUGUACUGAUUUACCAACCAUUUUUAAGAUCAAGUCAAAGCCUUCACCACCAUAGCUAUAGAAGCAUUUGGAUUAUUCAAGCUAAUGUCAAGUUUUUGCCCAUUUGGAAAUGUGAAUUGUAUCAACAUUUCAGCCUUAGUUUGUAUUAAUUCUAAAAUAGUGAGAUGAAUUUUGUAUGCCUCAUUUUCAGGUUGAAAGACUGCAUAAACUGUGUAACAACUUUUAGAAAUACAACCCUACUUCAUUCAGUGGAAACUAUGGAUGAGAUAUUGCUUCUAGAAUACAUGUACAGUAUUCUGCACUUUUCUUUCUGUAUUUUUGUGGCUGAUGAAUGUGUGGUUGAGUAUAUGAAAUAUUGUGCCUUAAAGUUCCCUUAUUAUGUGAGCCUUCAUUUCUUGUGAAAAUUAUACAACAUGUAUUAUAUAGCUAAGGAUGGUUGGAUGGUCUACAAAGAUCUGUUGAUGGUAUUUGGCUCUCUCACAAAAAGCCAUUGUUUGUAAUUAUUUUGAUGGAACUUGAAACUUUAAAUGGUAGAGACCUGAACAUAAAAUCCACAUCUGCACUCCAAGGUUUAUGCUGUUUCCCUGUUCUUACCAUCUGUUUGUAAAUUUAGUUUUACCUAUGGUGGAAUUGUAUGCACAGUGACAAUUAUGCAAGAUGGUUUUAGGUCAAGAAAUACAGAAAUUGCUCCAGACUCUCUUCAUUCGGUGUGCCCUUUGUGCACAUAGACAUAUGUUAAAGACAAUAUGCCUUUGCACAUAUGCAGUUAAGCCAUUGGUUCCUGGAAUAUCAUAAUUUGGUAAACAGAAGAGCCAGAAGACAUUUUGAAAAAUAUUCUGUUUAUAUAAAUUGGAUUUUACUUCUAUAACUCAGAGCUAUAGAAGAACAAUGUCAAAGAUUGUCAUCAUAAGAUUUGUGCAGAUAGAACUAUGGGUUGAUUAAGCUGAUUUUUAAACUUGAUUUUUACUGCUUUUUGAUCAAUAACAAAAAGCGCUUUAACAAGAAGUGAAAGAAAUAUGACAAAGUAAAAAAAUGGUAUGAUAAAUCAUUUUCACAGUAAACAUAAAAUUCUAUAUAUACUUAUCUAAUGCGAAUAUUAUUCAAGUACAUAUAUAUUUCUAAUGCAACUGUUUUUAACUUACUGUAUUUUGUUUAAAUGAGUCCCAUAUUUCACUAUACUUGUCCAUACAAAGACUAAUCUAUAAGCAAUUAGCUCAUAGUUUGGCAAGUGCAAUCAGGUCUUCAGACUGUUGAGUGAAAUAGGCCAUAUCUUCCUACAGUACAGUAACUACAGUAAAGUUACAGAGAAUUCAUUUAUUUUGUCAAUUGUCAAAAUACAUGUACUAUGCACAUAGUGCAAGAAAAUAUUAUCCUCUGAAAAUUUUAGCCUUUGCCGCACAAUUUUAUAUAUAUAGUCCACUACUUUCCCCCAAAAUGUAGUAAGUAUAGUACUUGGGUUUAAAAAAAGGAUUGAUUAAGUUGAUUAAUCACAAUCAUGAAUUUCCUCUCACCCAUAAAAUAUACUUGAUUUUUUAAAUUUUAUUUUAAUGCAGGUAGUUCUCAAUUUAUGACCACAAAUGAACCCAAAAUUUAUGUUGUUAACUGAAAAUUUUGUUAAGUGAAUUUUGCCCCACUUGCGACUUGUCUGGCCACAGUUGUUGAGGGAUUCACUGCAGUUGUUAAAUUAGUAACACCGUUGUUAAGUGAAUCUGGUUUCUUCAUUGACUUUGCUUGUCAGAAGUUUGCAAAAGGUGAUCCCAUGACCUUGGGACACUGCAACUGUCAUAGAUGUGAGUCAGUUGUGAAGCAUCCAAAUGUAAAUCACGUUACCAUGGGGAUGCUGCAAUGGCCAUAAGUGUGAAAAAUGGUCAUAAGUCACUUUUUUCAGUGCCGUUGUAACUUCAAACGGGCAUUAAAUGAACUGUUGUAACUCGAGGAUUACUUGUACAUGUGUCUAUCUGCUCCAAUCUAUAAUGACUCUGAGUGGCAUAAAACAUUAUAAAGUGCAGUUAAAAAUUCCAAGGUCCAAAGGAAGAACAACAAUUUUUUUUAAAAAAAUAAAACAGACAGGAUCCUCAUUCCACUCAUUCCUGGAGAAGAGCCACAUUUGGGGGGUAUAUUAGACAUGGCUUUAUGGAGAGACUUUCUGUUGCCUUUGCAUUAGUGUUUGCUAAGUAGGAAGGUAUAUGAUGGCUUGGGUCACUGGGAAGGUUGCUUGAAGGCAGGACCUUAUUGGGUCCAUACAAUUGCUCCAUUCUCAUUGUUUAUUGGCUUAGGCACAGAUGGCUUAAUUGUAUGGAAAGACAUAUAAGCAAACCCCGCAGCUCUCAUUUUAAUGCAGGCAUUGGGAGUGCAGGAGGGAACACUGUGAGGAAGUUUUUUAAGUAGAAUGCUCCAAAUUAAACUCCAGGACUUUUCUGCCCAAUCUACCCUUUUCCAAAUUUAUUAGCACAAGGGCAAAAUGCAACUGGUUUCUCCCUCUCUCUCUCCCUCUCCCUCCCUCCCUCUCUCUCUCUCUCUCUCUCUCUCCCCCCCACCCCCCACACACUAUGCAGAUAAGCUUGCAAUCUCAUCACUAAAUUCUGAAUUCCUGUCCAAGGUUCAAAAAAUUGUUUUAAGAUUCAGCAACAGGCAGGGUAAGGGAACAUCUUGUAGACAGCAGUCAUGAGCAUACAGCACAGGUGAAGAUUCUUGGAGAGAGAAAUAAAACCAGUACCAUGGACAGCGCUCAGUAUGUUAACCCGUCUGGCCUACUUGAAUGCUUUUCGCUUGUUUUAAUGAAGCACUUUGUAUUGCAAGGACAUAAUGAUGCACUUUGGGAUGAUGUGCCUGUUCUGAAUUAGAUAAUUUGCAUUGGCUCACAACCUCUUUUGGCAGUUGCAUAGCCAGAGGCUUCUGUGCAUGCUCUGCACAUAUGCCACAUGUCCUGUUCUAAUAACAACAGCAAUUAUUGUAAGCGUGGAUGUGAUGAUUUAUUACUGACAUUUCAAAAAUGUAAGUUUUUUUUGCCAAAUCCAGGAUCCUAGGCAUGUUAAAAUAUAAAAACUAUAAUAUUAUACAUUGUGCAGUUAUUUUCUUUUCUAAGAGCAAUGGAAGCUCAGCUUUUCUUUUAAAGGUAAAUAAGGGCAAAGAGCUUUAAAAAAAGCCAAAACUUAUAUUUCCCUUCUAUUUUCUGUAAUUCUAAUAUAGGUCUGCAGAGACAUGAGGGAAAAGGCUGUCUUGAUUUCUUACUCUCACUCACUCACUCACUAACAAGUCAGACAGAAGUUUUAGCCGGGCUAUAUAAAAAAGGCAGCAAAUAUGACAUCAGAUAUUUCAGGAAUUACAGAACUUGAUUUCAGAUGUGGAAGUGGGAUGUGAAUGUGGAGAUUUUAUGCUUCUAGGUUGGAAUGACUUGCUUUGUGUUGUAUAAUAAACAGAAUAUUUUGGACCUGCUUGAGACCUAUCUGAAAGGUUUUUAUGAUUUUUUUAAAAGUUACUAUUAGAAUAUGUAUCACUCUCAUACACACAUACACACAUGUAUAUGCAUGGUAUUACUAAUAAAAUGCCAUUUCUAUUGAAAGAA